rnacentral:rRNA from 1 species
CCUACGGGGGGCAGCAGUGGGGAAUAUUGGGCAAUGGGCGCAAGCCUGACCCAGCAACGCCGCGUGAAUGAAGAAGGCUUUCGGGUUGUAAACUUCUUUUAUAGAGGACGAAACAAAUGACGGUACUCAAUGAAUAAGCCACGGCUAACUACGUGCCAGCAGCCGCGGUAAUACGUAGGUGGCAAGCGUUAUCCGGAAUGACUGGGUGUAAAGGGCGUGUAGGCGGGACUGCAAGUCAGAUGCGAAACCCCUGGGCUCAACCCAUGGACUACAUUUGAAACUGUAGGUCUUGAGUGAAGGAGAGGCAAGCGGAAUUCCGUGUGUAGCGGUGAAAUGCGUAGAUAUACGGAGGAACACCAGUGGCGAAGGCGGCCUGCUGGACAGUAACUGACGCUGAGGCGCGAAAGCGUGGGGAGCAAACAGGAUUAGAUACCCUUGUAGUC